CCCAGAUAGCACUGAACGUCUUGCCGACGUUGGCAAUUGGAGGGCACCAGCGGCAAAGUAUCGGGAGGGGAUUUUCCCCUGCACAACAAAAAACUUUGGUGGGUAAACCAUCGGCGGGCCGCGGGAUGAAUAGCCACUUGCAUGCACAACUCCGGAGAUCGGUGGAGGAACCGUGAUGAACCAUUUUGCCGAUCCCGCUUCUAUUUUUUUAAAUAAAUAAUAUCUGCGCAACCGUUGGUCCACAUCAAGACCUUCACGCGCGUGCACACGUUUUUAUGACGGUGCGCUAUGCGCGUGAGUGAUCUCAGCAUCGUCUACACUACAGCCUACAGCUAAGUCUACAGCAACGGACUCUGAGCUACAUACACCCCAAAGGCUCUUUUCAGAGCCCAGGCCCAUUUUGCACAGCGUCUUUGCCUUUGUACAUGUACUUGCCGCGUCAGCACACACGACGGCUGGAACUACAGUAUGGUCUUCCCAGUGGACCAGCACCACAUCCAUCUGGAUUGAGACGAGUAGGGGACAUCUCUAGGGUCUUCACAUAUUGAUACACACACCAUUGCAACUUAGAUCACCAUCACCACCACCAUCCCCUGCAUCAGACACCCUAAAUCGUGCCCUUCAUCAGACACCCUACAGUAAAUGCACCACAAACAACACAGGCAAAGAAGAAGAAAACGCACGACAAAUCUCCUCCAGCCCAUCCCACAUCAUCGUAUAGUAAAGUGACGCCGCCGGAUAAUAAUGACGGCCUGUGUGCUUUGCAGCCUUUUCCAGGGAUCCUUCAGAGGACUAACAAUGGUGCUGUGUUAAGAAAUCCUACCCAACAAAAUUCCACUGAGGCAGAUGUAGAGAUGACUGCGAGAAACUGGCUGCGGCUGAGGAGGGACAGGAAGCAAGAGGGCGAGCAUCUUAAAGUGAAAUAAUUGAUUGGACUGAUUUUUCCUGUUUACCUAUUUUGGAGGGAAUUUCUUUUUGUUGUUGUUGUACUUUUCUAUGUGUGAUUUGAUGAGUGUUAAAAUAAAUGAUACUGCUUUUGCAAAAACAAAAGUAAAAAAUAAAUGUUCAAGGUCA